CGGGAGCCAGAACACAGGUGCUGCAUGGCUGUCGUCAGCUCGUGUCGUGAGAUGUUGGGUUAAGUCCCGCCAACGAGCGCAACCCUUGUCACUAGUUGCCAUCAUUUGGUUGGGCACUCUAGUGAGACUGCCGGUGACAAACCGGAGGAAGGUGGGGAUGACGUCAAGUCCUCAUGGCCCUUAUGGGUAGGGCUUCACACGUCAUACAAUGGCCGGUACAGAGGGUAGCCAACCCGCGAGGGGGAGCCAAUCCCACAAAGCCGGUCGUAGUCCGGAUCGCAGUCUGCAACUCGACUGCGUGAAGUCGGAAUCGCUAGUAAUCGCGGAUCAGCAUGUCGCGGUGAAUACGUUCCCGGGUCUU
rnacentral:rRNA from 1 species